rnacentral:ribozyme from 1 species
AGAAAAAAAAAAAAAAAAAACGAAACAAUGAAAAAAAGCAAACACACUUGGUAACAUGAAAUUCCACAAACACCCGAAAAGAAAAAUCUUAUUUUUUUUUUUCGUAGGACGUUUCAUU